GACGAACGCUGGCGGCGUGCUUAACACAUGCAAGUCGAACGGUAAGGCUCCAGCUUGCUGGGGUACACGAGUGGCGAACGGGUGAGUAACACGUGGGUGACCUGCCCUGCACUUCGGGAUAAGCCUGGGAAACUGGGUCUAAUACCGGAUAGGACCAUGGUGUGGAUACUGUGGUGGAAAGUUUUUUCGGUGUGGGAUGGGCCCGCGGCCUAUCAGCUUGUUGGUGGGGUAAUGGCCUACCAAGGCGGCGACGGGUAGCCGGCCUGAGAGGGUGGACGGCCACAUUGGGACUGAGACACGGCCCAGACUCCUACGGGAGGCAGCAGUGGGGAAUAUUGCACAAUGGGCGGAAGCCUGAUGCAGCGACGCCGCGUGGGGGAUGACGGCCUUCGGGUUGUAAACUCCUUUCACCAUCGACGAAGGGUUUCUGACGGUAGAUGGAGAAGAAGCACCGGCUAACUACG
rnacentral:rRNA from 1 species